rnacentral:lncRNA from 1 species
GGCGGUGAAUCAGAAGGCGGGCGCGGGGAUUUCGACGGAGGAGGUGAGCGUACUACUGGCGGUGAAGGCGAAUUCUUGGGUGGCGGAGGUGAAGGUGAAGUAGAAGGCGGUUUAGCCGAUAAUGGCGGAGGCGGAGGAGAACUUGUAGGUGGCGGUGUAAGCGGAUUUGAAGGUGGCGGAGGGGAAGGGAGGACAGCGGGUGAGGGAGGCGAAGGAGGAGGGGAAGUCGAGGGUGGAGGAGGGGGAGAAGCCAAUGGUGGCGGAGGAGGCAAUACNGAUAAUGGCGGAGGCGGAGGAGAACUUGUAGGUGGCGGUGUAAGCGGAUUUGAAGGUGGCGGAGGGGAAGGGAGGACAGCGGGUGAGGGAGGCGAAG